rnacentral:rRNA from 1 species
GAGUCUUAAUUGGGCGUUAAGUUGCAGGGUAUAGACCCGAAACCCGGUGAUCUAGCCAUGGGCAGGUUGAAGGUUGGGUAACACUAACUGGAGGACCGAACCGACUAAUGUUGAAAAAUUAGCGGAUGACCUGUGGCUGGGGGUGAAAGGCCAAUCAAACCGGGAGAUAGCUGGUUCUCCCCGAAAGCUAUUUAGGUAGCGCCUCGUGAAUUCAUCUCCGGGGGUAGAGCACUGUUUCGGCUAGGGGGCCAUCCCGGCUUACCAACCCGAUGCAAACUGCGAAUACCGGAGAAUGUUAUCACGGGAGACACACGGCGGGUGCUAACGUCCGUCGUGAAGAGGGAAACAACCCAGACCGCCAGCUAAGGUCCCAAAGUCAUGGUUAAGUGGGAAACGAUGUGGGAAGGCCCAGACAGCCAGGAUGUUGGCUUAGAAGCAGCCAUCAUUUAAAGAAAGCGUAAUAGCUCACUGGUCGAGUCGGCCUGCGCGGAAGAUGUAACGGGGCUAAACCAUGCACCGAAGCUGCGGCAGCGACGCUGAUGCGUUGUUGGGUAGGGGAGCGUUCUGUAAGCCUGCGAAGGUGGCCUGUGAGGGUUGCUGGAGGUAUCAGAAGUGCGAAUGCUGACAUAAGUAACGAUAAAGCGGGUGAAAAGCCCGCUCGCCGGAAGACCAAGGGUUCCUGUCCAACGUUAAUCGGGGCAGGGUGAGUCGACCCCUAAGGCGAGGCCGAAAGGCGUAGUCGAUGGGAAACGGGUUAAUAUUCCCGUACUUGGUGUUACUGCGAAGGGGGGACGGAGAAGGCUAUGUUGGCCGGGCGACGGUUGUCCCGGUUUAAGCGUGUAGGUGUGUGUUCCAGGUAAAUCCGGUUCACUUUAACACUGAGGCGUGAUGACGAGGCACUACGGUGCUGAAGCAACAAAUGCCCUGCUUCCAGGAAAAGCCUCUAAGCAUCAGGUAACAUCAAAUCGUACCCCAAACCGACACAGGUGGUCAGGUAGAGAAUACCAAGGCGCUUGAGAGAACUCGGGUGAAGGAACUAGGCAAAAUGGUGCCGUAACUUCGGGAGAAGGCACGCUGACAUGUAGGUGAAGUGAUUUACUCAUGGAGCUGAAGUCAGUCGAAGAUACCAGCUGGCUGCAACUGUUUAUUAAAAACACAGCACUGUGCAAACACGAAAGUGGACGUAUACGGUGUGACGCCUGCCCGGUGCCGGAAGGUUAAUUGAUGGGGUCAGCGCAAGCGAAGCUCCUGAUCGAAGCCCCGGUAAACGGCGGCCGUAACUAUAACGGUCCUAAGGUAGCGAAAUUCCUUGUCGGGUAAGUUCCGACCUGCACGAAUGGCGUAAUGAUGGCCAGGCUGUCUCCACCCGAGACUCAGUGAAAUUGAACUCGCUGUGAAGAUGCAGUGUACCCGCGGCAAGACGGAAAGACCCCGUGAACCUUUACUAUAGCUUGACACUGAACAUUGAGCCUUGAUGUGUAGGAUAGGUGGGAGGCUUUGAAGUGUGGACGCCAGUCUGCAUGGAGCCGGCCUUGAAAUACCACCCUUUAAUGUUUGAUGUUCUAACGUGGACCCGUGAUCCGGGUUGCGGACAGUGUCUGGUGGGUAGUUUGACUGGGGCGGUCUCCUCCUAAAGAGUAACGGAGGAGCACGAAGGUUGGCUAAUCCUGGUCGGACAUCAGGAGGUUAGUGCAAUGGCAUAAGCCAGCUUGACUGCGAGCGUGACGGCGCGAGCAGGUGCGAAAGCAGGUCAUAGUGAUCCGGUGGUUCUGAAUGGAAGGGCCAUCGCUCAACGGAUAAAAGGUACUCCGGGGAUAACAGGCUGAUACCGCCCAAGAGUUCAUAUCGACGGCGGUGUUUGGCACCUCGAUGUCGGCUCAUCACAUCCUGGGGCUGAAGUAGGUCCCAAGGGUAUGGCUGUUCGCCAUUUAAAGUGGUACGCGAGCUGGGUUUAGAACGUCGUGAGACAGUUCGGUCCCUAUCUGCCGUGGGCGCUGGAGAACUGAGGGGGGCUGCUCCUAGUACGAGAGGACCGGAGUGGACGCAUCACUGGUGUUCGGGUUGUCAUGCCAAUGGCACUGCCCGGUAGCUAAAUGCGGAAGAGAUAAGUGCUGAAAGCAUCUAAGCACGAAACUUGCCCCGA